rnacentral:misc_RNA from 1 species
GAUGAAGAACGUAGCGAAAUGCGAUACGUAAUGUGAAUUGCAGAAUUCAGUGAAUCAUCGAAUCUUUGAACGCAUAUUGCGCUCUCUGGCAUUCCGGAGAGCAUGCUUGUUUGAGUAUCAGUAAACACCUCAACUCCCUUUUCUUUUUUGAAAUUGGAGCUGGACUUGAGUGAUCCCAACGCUUUCUUCCAAGAAAGUGGCGGGUUGCUUGAAAUGCAGGUGCAGCUGAACUUUUCUCUGAGCUAUAAGCAUAUCUAUUUAGUCUGCCUAAAAAACAGAUUAUUACCUUUGCUGCAGCUAACAUAAAGGAGACUAGUUCUUGUGCUGACUGAUGCAGGAUUCACAGAGACAGCUUCGGCUGACUUUGUAAACUCGAUCUCAAAUCAAGUAAGACUACCCGCUGAACUUAAGCAUAUCAAUAAGCGGAGGA